GUGAUGUGUCUAGUUACCUGGUAGUAGGGGUAGGUGAUGUGUCUAGUUACCUGGUAGUAGGGGUAGGUGAUGUGUCUAGUUACCUGGUAGUAGGGGUAGGUGAUGUGUCUAGUUACCUGGUAGUAGGGGUAGGUGAUGUGUCUAGUUACCUGGUAGUAGGGGUAGGUGAUGUGUCUAGUUACCUGGUAGUAGGGGGAGGUGAUGUGUCUAGUUACCUGGUAGUAGGGGUAGGUGAUGUGUCUAGUUACCUGGUAGUAGGGGGAGGUGAUGUGUCUAGUUACCUGGUAGUAGGGGUAGGUGAUGUGUCUAGUUACCUGGUAGUAGGGGUAGGUGAUGUGUCUAGUUACCUGGUAGUAGGGGUAGGUGAUGUGUCUAGUUACCUGGUAGUAGUGGUAGGGGUAGGUGAUGUGUCUAGUUACCUGGUAGUAGGGGUAGGUGAUGUGUCUAGUUACCUGGUAGUAGUGGUAGGGGUAGGUGAUGUGUCUAGUUACCUGGUAGUAGGGGUAGGUGAUGUGUCUAGUUACCUGGUAGUAGGGGGAGGUGAUGUGUCUAGUUACCUGGUAGUAGGGGUAGGUGAUGUGUCUAGUUACCUGGUAGUAGGGGUAGGUGAUGUGUCUAGUUACCUGGUAGUAGGGGGAGGUGAUGUGUCUAGUUACCUGGUAGUAGGGGUAGGUGAUGUGUCUAGUUACCUGGUAGUAGGGGUAGGUGAUGUGUCUAGUUACCUGGUAGUAGGGGUAGGUGAUGUGUCUAGUUACCUGGUAGUAGGGGUAGGUGAUGUGUCAGUUACCUGGUAGUAGUGGUAGGGGUAGGUGAUGUGUCUAGUUACCUGGUAGUAGGGGUAGUGGUAGGUGAUGUGUCUAGUUACCUGGUAGUAGGGGUAGGUGAUGUGUCUAGUUACCUGGUAGUAGGGGUAGGUGAUGUGUCUAGUUACCUGGUAGUAGGGGUAGGUGAUGUGUCUAGUUACCUGGUAGUAGGGGUAGGUGAUGUGUCUAGUUACCUGGUAGUAGGGGGAGGUGAUGUGUCUAGUUACCUGGUAGUAGGGGUAGGUGAUGUGUCUAGUUACCUGGUAGUAGUGGUAGGUGAUGUGUCUAGUUACCUGGUAGUAGGGGUAGGUGAUGUGUCUAGUUACCUGGUAGUAGGGGGAGGUGAUGUGUCUAGUUACCUGGUAGUAGGGGUAGGUGAUGUGUCUAGUUACCUGGUAGUAGGGGUAGGUGAUGUGUCUAGUUACCUGGUAGUAGGGGUAGGUGAUGUGUCUAGUUACCUGGUAGUAGGGGUAGGUGAUGUGUCUAGUUACCUGGUAGUAGUGGUAGGGGUAGGUGAUGUGUCUAGUUACCUGGUAGUAGGGGUAGUGGUAGGUGAUGUGUCUAGUUAC